UUGAGCAGUGUGCAAAUGCCGUUGUUGAAAAACAACACAGAUGCGUUCACUUGAAACUGGUAGCCUCGCGGCGCAUUCAAAGUUAAUGUAAAUUACCCUUUUCCCAUCUGGUUUUGUCGUUCAACUGCAAUUUACUAGUGAAAUACGUUAUUAUUGUUACACAUUGUU